rnacentral:rRNA from 1 species
UACAGAGGGGGCAAGCGUUGUUCGGAAUUACUGGGCGUAAAGGGCGCGUAGGCGGCCUGCUAAGUCGAACGUGAAAUCCCCGGGCUCAACCCGGGAACUGCGUCCGAUACUGGCAGGCUUGAAUUCGGGAGAGGGAUGCGGAAUUCCAGGUGUAGCGGUGAAAUGCGUAGAUAUCUGGAGGAAUACCAGUGGCGAAGGCGGCCUGCUGGGCCACGACCGACACUGAGGUGCGAAAGCGUGGGGAGCGAACCGG